rnacentral:rRNA from 1 species
UACGGGGGGGGCAAGCGUUGUUCGGAAUUACUGGGCGUAAAGGGCGCGUAGGCGGUUCGCUAAGUUGGAUGUGAAAACUCUGGGCUUAACCCAGAGCCUGCAUCCAAAACUGGCGAACUUGAGUACUGGAGGGGAAAGCGGAAUUCCUGGUGUAGCGGUGAAAUGCGCAGAUAUCGGGAAGAACACCCGUGGCGAAGGCGGUUCUCUGGGCCAUAACUGACGCUGAGAAGCGAAAGCAUGGGGAGCGAACAGG